rnacentral:rRNA from 1 species
GACAGAGGGUGCAAGCGUUGUUCGGAAUUAUUGGGCGUAAAGGGCGCGUAGGCGGCCUUGUAAGUCAGAUGUGAAAUCCCUGGGCUUAACCCAGGAAGUGCAUCUGAUACUGCUUGGCUUGAGUGCCGGAGAGGGUGGUGGAAUUCCCAGUGUAGAGGUGAAAUUCGUAGAUAUGACAUAGAACACCAAUUGCGAAGGCAGCUGGCUACACAUAUAUUGACACUGAUGCACGAAAGCGUGGGGAUCAAACAGG